GUCUACAGCCACGCCACCCUGAACAACCCUGACGUCUGGGCUGGGGAGCUAAGCAGGGUCGGGCCUGGUUAGUACUUGGAUGGGAGACCACCCAGGAAGACCAGGUGCUGCAGGUG
rnacentral:rRNA from 1 species